rnacentral:rRNA from 1 species
GGGUGCAAUCAUACCACCACUAAUGCACCUGAUCCCAUCAAAACUCCACAGUUAAGUGUGCUUGGGUGAGAGUAGUACUUGGAUGGGUGACCUCAUUGGAAGUCCUCGUGGUUCACUCA